UAGGGAAUAUUGCACAAUGGAGGAAACUCUGAUGCAGCCAUGCCGCGUGUGUGAAGAAGGCCUUAGGGUUGUAAAGCACUUUCAGUAAGGAAGAAAAAGCGGGGCUAAUACCCCCGUCAUAUGACAUUACUUACAGAAGAAGGUCCGGCUAACUCCGUGCCAGCAGCCGCGGUAAUACGGAGGGAUCGAACGUUAAUCGGAAUUACUGGGCGUAAAGCGCGCGUAGGCGGUUCAUUAAGUGGGAUGUGAAAGCCCCGGGCUUAACCUGGGAAUUGCAUUCCAAACUGACGGACUAGAGUACGAGAGAGGGGGGUAGAAUUCAGAGUGUAGCGGUGAAAUGCGUAGAUAUUCUGAGGAAUACCAGUGGCGAAGGCGGCCCCCUGGCUUGAUACUGACGCUGAGGCGCGAAAGCGUGGGGAGCAAACAGGAUUAGAUACCCGUGUAGUCC
rnacentral:rRNA from 1 species